GAGGGGGCGGCUCCCGUGGGUCACCUCAGGCCUCCGGGCCAGUCCGGGUCGCCCUUUCGUCUGAAGAGACGCGCCCGGCUCGCCUUCGCGUGUCGUGUGAAUCCCGAUGGUGGCUGACUCGAUUAAAGCUUGAGGAGAAGAAGAGCUGGCGAGUUUUGGGUGACUCUGUGGGAAACAGAGGCGGCGGCGGCUGCUGCUGCUGCCACCUGCUACCUCAGUAACGGUCAGGAGAGCUGGUGGCCUGUGAGGAAAAUACCCCCCCAGGGGCCUCUCAUCUCGCGGAGGGAGGAGGCCGAAGCUUGAGAGCUGUAGUCAAUUUAGCAAUUUACCUCCUGUCCAGCCAGCAGUUUGAAAGCAUGCAACAUUGCAAGUAGAUGAAUGGGUACCACUGGUGGGAAAAACUGAAACCUAGUUGCGUUCGUGUGUGCGGAGAACGGAAGCCGGCGCUGGACUUGGCCGGACACAAGGCGGCGUGACACAAGGCGAAGCGGGGCGAGACUGGCGGAAGAGCCUGGAAGAGCCAGCAAGCUGAGUGCCACUAUCAUAGUCAGCUGGUGUAAAGCUAGUUCACUUCCCACCAUGCACCAGGGAUAGGUGCAUAAGCAGUGAACAGAACGAACCAGCCAUUUAGGCUAUCAGGAGGGCCGCAUUGUGUGUCUAGCAUGUGUAGAUUUCCCUGACAGUGUAUGCCAUACACUAAAUCAAUAAAUCCCUUUCAGACUAUAACAUAAAUUUCCAUACUUUCAAUCUCAUAUUCUCUCAUUGUUCUAUUUGUACAUUAUAAUCAAAUUACCUUUUUAAUCAAGAUUGUAGCCAAUUUAAUUGUACAUUCUUUGACCUUUUUUCUUUUUCAAUUUCAAUAAAAGCUUAUACAUUUUA